UACGUAGGGUGCGAGCGUUGUCCGGAAUUAUUGGGCGUAAAGAGCUCGUAGGCGGUCUGUCGCGUCUGCUGUGAAAUCCCGAGGCUCAACCUCGGGCUUGCAGUGGGUACGGGCAGGCUAGAGUGUGGUAGGGGGAGACUGGAAUUCCUGGUGUAGCGGUGGAAUGCGCAGAUAUCAGGAGGAACACCAAUGGCGAAGGCAGAUCUCUGGGCCGUAACUGACGCUGAGGAGCGAAAGCAUGGGGAGCGAACAGG
rnacentral:rRNA from 1 species